GCGGGUGUAGUUCAAUGGUAGAACUCCAGCCUUCCAAGCUGAUAGUGUGGGUUCGAUUCCCAUCACCCGCUCCA
rnacentral:tRNA from 1 species